AUGGCGGAGAUUGUGAUUCUUCUAGCCAUUGAAAAGAUUGGAACUGCCUUAGCAAAUGGAGCAGCAAACCAGGCCAGCAUGCUGUUUGUGAAGUAUGGCACACAACUAGUAGAGUUACAGCGCGGCAUGGAUUGUGUUGUGAGGGAGCUUCAUCUAAUGCAUGAUUUUCUCUGUCAAAUGGACAUUCGAAACCGCAACAAACAAGCACAUGAGAGCUGGCUGGAGGAGGUACGGAAAGUAGCACAUCUGAUGGAGGACAUGGUGGAUGAGUAUUUGUAUCUAGUUGGUCGGGAACAUGAUAUGGGGUGUUGCUUUUACUUGAAGAAAGGGUUCAAAAAGCCAAGAUUUCUAAUUUCUUUGAACCAAAUAGCUGUCAAGGUGAAGGAAAUAGAGAAAGACCUUUUGCACCUGUCAGAGACCAAAAACCGUUGGGUUCACGUGGAUGAUGUGGAUACUAGCAGCUCAAAUUAUAUUGUCAAGAGGUCCCAAGAACUAGCAGAAACCUCACGCUUGAUUGAUGAUGAAGAUCUAGUUGGGGUAGAUGAAAACAGAGAAAAACUUGAGAAGUGCUUGGCAGGUGAUGAUUUGCAAUGCUCUGUGGUAGCACUACUCGGAAUGGGAGGGCUUGGCAAAACAACUUUAGCUGCAAAUGUCUACAAUAAGGCGAGAGCAAAAUUGCAGUGUCAUGCCUGGGUCUCCAUCUCUCAAGUUUAUUCUAGAGAAGAUGUCUUGAGGAAUAUAACUAAGGAACUUUUUAAAGAUAAUUCGAGUGUUCUGUCUAGCAUGGUGGGUAUGGAUAUCAUGAGCCUUAAAGAGAUGUUGAAGAAAUUUCUGGAGCAACGGAAGUAUUUGAUCAUAUUGGAUGAUGUUUGGACUCCGGAAGUAUUUGAUGAUUUGUCUAGCAUGCUUAUUCAAAGUUCUAAGGGCAGUAGACUGAUAAUUACAACAAGGGAAGCCCGAGUUGCUGCAUUUGCUUCUCAAGGAUGUAUCUUAACACUUGAACCUUUAUCGGUGGACAAUACAUGGAGUCUCUUCUGUAAAAAAGCCUUUCCAAGAGAUACAAAUCAUGCAUGUCCUGCAGAGUUGAAGCCCUUAUCCGAGGAAAUAGCUAAGAAGUGCAAAGGCUUACCUCUUGUCAUUGUGUUAGUUGGUAGCCUCUUACGUGUGCGUGAAAAAACUGUGGAAGAAUGGAGAGAAAUAAGUGCCCAGUUGAGUUGGGAGCUAAUUAAUAAUGCAAUGCUUGAUCAAAUAAGAAAUGUUUUGCAUCUGAGCUUCAUCUACCUCCCAACACAGUUGAAAAGUUGUUUCCUAUAUUGCAGCUUAUUUCCGGAGGACUAUCUUUUCAGAAGGAAACAACUUAUACGGUUGUGGAUAGCAGAGGGGUUCAUCGAGGAGAGGGGUGAAAACACAUUAGAAGAAGUGGCAGAAUGCUAUUUGAGGGAGUUGGUUAAUAGAAACAUGCUACAACUUAUUGAGAGGAACACAUUUGGCAGGAUGAGGAGAUUUAGAAUGCACGACAUCUUACGUGAUUUGGCUGCUGAUUUAUGCAAAAAGAACUGUUUUGGUGUGACAUAUCAGGAUAUAUGCGGGGGGUCCCUUAAGAUGGGUGGGCGCAGAUUGGUGCUUCACAAAUUGAAGAAGGGUACACUUCAGUCAAUUUCUGGUAUACAUCAACUUCGAACUAUGAUUACACUGGAGGAUAGUAUUUCUUCGUUCACUCUACUAGUUCAGCUUUGUAAGGAGUCAAGAUAUAUGACAGUGCUAGAAUUAUGUAGUCUAGCCGUAGAUAAGAUUCCAAAUGCUAUUGGAGAUCUUUUUAAUCUCCGCCAUUUGGGUUUGCGUGAUACAAAAGUGAAGAUGCUGCCGAAGUCUAUUGAGAAGCUUUCAAAUUUGUUGACACUGGACCUUGGUCGAUGUGACAUACAUGUGUUGCCUUGUGGGAUUAUGAAACUAAAUAAGCUUAGACACUUGUUUGCUGAGAAAAUAGUCGGUUGGAGAGAGUUUAAAUGUGGCAGUGGUAUGUGUAUACCCAAUGGUCAUGGAAAUCUAAUAAACCUGCAGACCCUACAAGCAUUAGAAGUACAUGAUGAAUCUGCUAGACAUUUAGGGGAGCUGAAGCAACUAAGAAGCUUGAGGUUAUGGAAUGUGAAGGGAGCCUACUGUGGAGACAUCAGUAAGUCUCUUGUUCAGAUGCAGUAUUUGUCCUACCUAUCUAUGAGUGCAAGUGAUGAGGACGAGGUUCUAUUCUUGAAUGUCUGCCUGCCAAACCUGCUAAAGCUAUCUUUGAGAGGACGACUAACGGAAGAGGCAUUGGAUGAGUCCCCUCUAUUCCAAACUGUUGGUGCGCAGAACUUGUGUGAAUUGGAUCUAUUUUGGUCACAACUGAGAGAAAACCCGCUGCCAUCCCUUUCUCGGCUGUCAAACUUGAUGCGUCUACAGUUCACCAGAGCAUACAACGGAGAGCAGCUGACAUUUCUCACUGGAUGGUUUCCCAAGCUAAAGAUUCUAGUUCUAAGAGACCUGCUUAAUCUGAAUCGGCUGGAGAUACAGCAAUUAAGGUGCCAUGGCCAGCCUGAAAAAAAUAUUCUUAAUCAACCUCAGCAGCAUGACGGAGAUCCCACAUGGCAUUGA
rnacentral:rRNA from 1 species